AUUGAACGCUGGCGGCAUGCCUUACACAUGCAAGUCGAACGGUAACAGGUCUUCGGAUGCUGACGAGUGGCGCACGGGUGAGUAAUACAUCGGAACGUGCCCGAUCGUGGGGGAUAACGGAGCGAAAGCUUUGCUAAUACCGCAUACGAUCUACGGAUGAAAGCAGGGGACCGCAAGGCCUUGCGCGGACGGAGCGGCCGAUGGCAGAUUAGGUAGUUGGUGGGAUAAAAGCUUACCAAGCCGACGAUCUGUAGCUGGUCUGAGAGGACGACCAGCCACACUGGGACUGAGACACGGCCCAGACUCCUACGGGGGGCAGCAGUGGGGAAUUUUGGACAAUGGGCGAAAGCCUGAUCCAGCCAUGCCGCGUGCAGGAUGAAGGCCUUCGGGUUGUAAACUGCUUUUGUACGGAACGAAAAGACUCUUUCUAAUAAAGAGGGUCCAUGACGGUACCGUAAGAAUAAGCACCGGCUAACUACGUG
rnacentral:rRNA from 1 species